rnacentral:pre_miRNA from 11 species
UGCAGUCAGUCAUCCCUGUGGCCCAUGGUGCAGUGCUGCAUCUCUGGUCAGUUGGUAGUCUGAGAUGAAGCACUGUAGCUCGGGACGGAGGACAGAAAUCCCGGU